rnacentral:hammerhead_ribozyme from 1 species
AUUCAGCUGACGAGUCCUAAACAGGACGAACGCUUGUCAUACUGGAU